rnacentral:rRNA from 1 species
CCUACGGGGCGCAGCAGUGAGGAAUAUUGGUCAAUGGGCGAGAGCCUGCACCAGCCAAGUCGCGUGAAGGAUGACGGCCCUAUGGGUUGUAAACUUCUUUUGUCUGGGCGCAAUUGGGUCCAUGCGUGCGCUUCUCGAGAGUACCUGAAGAAAAGGCAUCGGCUAACUCCGUGCCAGCAGCCGCGGUAUUACGGAGGAUGCGAGCGUUUUCGGGAUUUAUUGGUUUUAAAGGGUGCGUAGGCGGAAUAUCAAGUCAGCGGUAAAAAUUCGGGGGUAAACCCCGUCGGGCAGUUGAUACUGAUGUUCUUGAGUGGGCGAGAAGUAUGCGGAAUGCGUGGUGUAGCGGUGAAAUGCAUAGAUAUCACGCAGAACUCCGAUUGCGAAGGCAGCAUACCGGCGCCCAACUGACGCUGAAGCACGAAAGCGUGGGUAUCGAACAGGAUGAGAUACCCGAGUAGUC